GACGAACGCUGGCGGCGUGCUUAACACAUGCAAGUCGAACGGAAAGGCCCUGCUUUUGUGGGGUGCUCGAGUGGCGAACGGGUGAGUAACACGUGAGUAACCUGCCCUUGACUUUGGGAUAACUUCAGGAAACUGGGGCUAAUACCGGAUAGGAGCUCCUGCUGCAUGGUGGGGGUUGGAAAGUUUCGGCGGUUGGGGAUGGACUCGCGGCUUAUCAGCUUGUUGGUGGGGUAGUGGCUUACCAAGGCUUUGACGGGUAGCCGGCCUGAGAGGGUGGCCGGCCACCUUGGGCCUGAGAUACGGACCAGACUCCUACGGGAGGCAGCAGUGGGGAAUAUUACACAAUGGGCGGACGCCUGAUGCAGCAACGCCGCGUGCGUGAUGACGGCCUUCGGGUUGUAAACCGCUUUCGACUGUGACGAGGCGUGAGUGACGGUAAUGGGUAAAGAAGCACCGGCUAACUACGUG
rnacentral:rRNA from 1 species